rnacentral:lncRNA from 1 species
CCACCAUCUAGCCCCCCUGGGCCCCUCAUGCCUCCAUAAAUAUAGCAAAAUCUUACUGUAUUCAAGCCUGAAGCUGUAACUCUGCAUGCUGUUAGACUCAGAAAAACAAGCCGUCUGCUGACAUCAUCAGAAGUGGUAGCCUGAUCCAAUCACAAUGCUUCCCCAUAGGAUUGGCUGAGACUGACAAAGAGGCAGAUCAGGGGCAGAGCCAGCACAAUUCAAACACAUUCCUGGCCAAUCAGCAUCUCCUCAUAGAGAUGAAUUGAAUCAAUGAAUCUCUAUGAGGAAAGUUCAGUGUCUGCAUGCAGAGGGAGGAGACACUGAAUGUUUGGAUGCAUUUUAGGCAGCCAUGACCCAGGAAGGAUCUCUA